rnacentral:lncRNA from 1 species
CUGUUUCUGGCCUUUACAUCAAGUAAUUGCUUUAUUUUUCUCCCUCUGCUCUAAAAAACGGAAUUCCCUUCUCCCCUGCUUGAACCCUGCCUGUCCUGCACUUAGAAAACCCUUUGAGAAUGAGAUUAAAUGGGUGAACUGCUUUCUGGGCAUGGAAUCAGACUAUCUCUCCAUUGGUUGAAAAGAUGUGACAGCAUUCAGAUCCCACUCAAUGGAACUCUUGACAAGGGUAAAGGACAAUUUGCAAAACGCUUUCACUUGCAUUUCAUUACUACAAUUUUACAAAUGUUUCAGCUUUCCAUGUGACAAAGUUUCAUUUUGAUCCUGAAUA